rnacentral:rRNA from 1 species
GAUGAACGCUGGCGGCGUGCCUAAAACAUGCAAGUCGAGCGGUAAGGCUCUGCACUUAGUGUUUGAUCGAAGUAAUUUAUUACUACAGUAGACCAAUUGGAACCUUGGCGGGUGAAGAGCGGAAUAGGAAGAUCGAAUUAUAAGUGUAGAGUACACGAGCGGCGGACGGGUGAGUAACACGUGGGAAUCUACCCCAAAACUGAGGGAUAAGCACCGGAAACGGUGUCUAAUACCGCAUAUGGUCUUCGGAUUAAAGCUUCGGCGGUUUGGGAAGAGCCCGCGUAAGAUUAGCUAGUUGGUGAGGUAAAGGCUCACCAAGGCGACGAUCUUUAGCUGGUUUGAGAGGAUGAUCAGCCACACUGGAACUGAGACACGGUCCAGACUCCUACGGGAGGCAGCAGUUAGGAAUUUUCCACAAUGGCGCAAGCCUGAUGGAGCAACGCCGCGUGCAGGAUGAAGGUUUCGGAUUGUAAACUGCCUUUAUGUGUGAAGAAUAAUGACGGUAACACGAUA